rnacentral:rRNA from 1 species
AUUGAACGCUGGCGGCAGGCCUAACACAUGCCAGUCGAGCGGAUGAAGGGAGCUUGCUCCUGGAUUCAGCGGCGGACGGGUGAGUAAUGCCUAGGAAUCUGCCUGGUAGUGGGGGAUAACGUCCGGACACGGGCGCUAAUACCGCAUACGUCCUGAGGGAGAAAGUGGGGGAUCUUCGGACCUCACGCUAUCAGAUGAGCCUAGGUCGGAUUAGCUAGUUGGUGGGGUAAAGGCCUACCAAGGCGACGAUCCGUAACUGGUCUGAGAGGAUGAUCAGUCACACUGGAACUGAGACACGGUCCAGACUCCUACGGGAGGCAGCAGUGGGGAAUAUUGGACAAUGGGCGAAAGCCUGAUCCAGCCAUGCCGCGUGUGUGAAGAAGGUCUUCGGAUUGUAAAGCACUUUAAGUUGGGAGGAAGGGCAGUAAGUUAAUACCUUGCUGUUUUGACGUUACCAACAGAAUAAGCACCGGCUAACUUCGUG